rnacentral:rRNA from 1 species
UAGGGAAUCUUCGGCAAUGGACGAAAGUCUGACCGAGCAACGCCGCGUGCGUGAAGAAGGUUUUCGGAUCGUAAAACUCUUUUGUUAGAGAAGAACAAGGACGUUAGUAACUGAACGUCCCCUGACGGUAUCUAACCAGAAAGCCACGGCUAACUACUUGCCAGCAGCCGCGGUAAUACGUAGGUGGCAAGCGUUGUCCGGAUUUAUUGGGCGUAAAGCGAGCGCAGGCGGUUUCUUAAGUCUGAUGUGAAAGCCCCCGGCUCAACCGGGGAGGGUCAUUGGAAACUGGGAGACUUGAGUGCAGAAGAGGAGAGUGGAAUUCCAUGUGUAGCGGUGAAAUGCGUAGAUAUAUGGAGGAACACCAGUGGCGAAGGCGGCUCUCUGGUCUGUAACUGACGCUGAGGCUCGAAAGCGUGGGGAGCAAACAGG